CUUGUGGUCAAACGAGACGAGGCCAUAAACUCGCUGCUGCCUUGUCCUUUGUGGUAAAAAACAGAGUUGUUACACAGUUUCCAUAUCAGAAUCAGUCUGCUCUGUGGAGUGGGCGCUUUCAAAUGUACGCACUCAGGCUUCUUCUGUCUCUUUGUCAGACAACCAUUUCAGUAGCACAGGUGAGACGCAGCAGCUGUCCAGUGCAAAGCAGUGUUGCCGCUGAAGAGCCAGGAGCACACCCAGACACCAUGGCAAAGUGUGUUACAGGAAGGUGAUACUGGUUUGAGCACAAGUAUACUUGUCAGCACUGCUCUGAACUGUGCCUUUCUGAGCUAUGCUGCAAGCAGGCAAGUGACAGUUUACAGAUUUUAUAGUACAACUAGUUUUUGCCAAAAUGAUUGCACCAGACUGUGUCAUACCACAUCUGAAUUCAUUUUACUUAAAAUGAAGUGACUUACAACAGUGAUUUUCAGACUUUCUGUUUACCUCGUGGACCCCUGAACUGACACAAAUUAGGCCACAGACCACCUUUCAACAAGAUUUUGUCCCAGGGUCCCCAUUUGAUAAGAAUUUUGAUAUUAUUCCAGAGUGUGUCUGAACCCAUGACCACAAUCAUCAAACAGUCUGUCACUGUGUUACUUGGAUGGUUGAAAUUAUAGUGAAAACCUUUUUUGCUGAGGAACCCCUGAAACCAACUUAAAGACCCCUGGGGGUCCCCGGGCCGCACUUUGAAAACUACUGACUUACAAAACUAGUU